rnacentral:rRNA from 1 species
GGCCACAGCCAUGUCACCCUGCAGCCCAAGACCGGUUACUCACUGAAGCUAAGCAGGGCUGAGCCUGGUCAGUACCAGGAUGGGAGACCACUAGGGAACACUAGGUUGCUGUUGGAA